ensembl:lncRNA
GAGGUAGAUAGAAUAUCUCUUUUGGUUAAUUCUCAAGUCACUAGCAUUGUCCAUUAAGAUAAGCCAACUCAAAAUCAGUCAUGAGCUGAGCAGUAAAGUGUCCUUCAUGGAAUAAAGCCUGAAACUUUUGUAUUUGGUAGACAUUUUACACUAGUGAAGUUAAUAUUCUACAACUAUAACUGUAAUAGAGUAACACGAUAAGGACCCAUAAAAUAAGGGAUUGUAGUAUUGAGAACAUCAUUCUUUUUAUGUAGACUAAGAGGAGACUAAAGCUGGAGCUUUGUGCCCAUGGGAGUUCAUUUCACCUCUCUGAGCCUCAGAUCCCUCAGCUAUCAAAGAAGGGGGUUGGGAUUUAGAUCAUUUAAAGCUGAACCUCCCCUGUUUACUGAACCUCACUGGAGUCUAUGACUUUCUGGAGCUAUGGAUACAGCAUGACUCUCCUGAAGGACAAUAUGAAAUAGUGAGAAGGGAUGAUCAGUCCAGUUUGGUGCAGCAGAAGAUCAUCAGUAGAGAGCAGAGACUGGGGACCUCAGCUGAUGGGAUAAACUGACACUGAUGAUAAAGAUGGCCCAUCUCGGGAGAAUAUUUGCAGGGGCACAGGGAGUGUUUGCUGAAGCAAUAAAGAGAAAUAAUAAACGAAACAGCAUGCGGAGCUCAGGAGACAGCAGGCUUGCCGAAUCUACCCAAGACACUUAACCUUUCAGUGC